CAGCAGCCGCGGUAAAACAGAGGGUGCGAGCGUUAAUCGGAUUUACUGGGCGUAAAGCGCACGCAGGCGGUCUGUCAAGUCAGAUGUGAAAUCCCCGGGCUUAACCUGGGAACUGCAUUUGAAACUGGCAGGCUAGAGUCUUGUAGAGGGGGGUAGAAUUCCAGGUGUAGCGGUGAAAUGCGUAGAGAUCUGGAGGAAUACCGGUGGCGAAGGCGGCCCCCUGGACAAAGACUGACGCUCAGGUGCGAAAGCGUGGGGAGCAAACAGGAUUAGAUACCCGCGUAGUCCCUGUCUCUUAUAC
rnacentral:rRNA from 1 species